rnacentral:rRNA from 1 species
UACGUAGGCAGCAAGCGUUGUUCGGAAUUACUGGGCGUAAAGCGUGCGCAGGCGGUUUUGUAAGUCUGUCGUGAAAUCCCCGGGCUCAACCUGGGAAUUGCGAUGGAGACUGCAAGGCUAGAAUCUGGCAGAGGGGGUAGAAUUCCACGUGUAGCAGUGAAAUGCGUAGAGAUGUGGAGGAACACCGAUGGCGAAGGCAGCCCCCUGGGUCAAGAUUGACGCUCAUGCACGAAAGCGUGGGGAGCAAACAGG